GGGGCUGAUUAGGAUUCGACAGGAUCUAGGAAGCUGGAGGUGCAUGCAGAGGUGCGGUUUGCCUCUUUAAAAAGCCGCAUUUAAAUAGUCGCAAACGACGAAAACUACGCACUAGCCGCUUAAUAACCGGUAUAGGCCCUUCCACCUAAGCUCUGUCUGCUAGCCAGGAUUUCGGAAGGUCAUUAAAGCAAACUAGCGAGGGAAACUCUCCUGAGGUUGAACCGCGAAAUAGUAUCAGGACAGCUACCAGGAACCCUGUUUGUCGGGGUCCAAAGUAGUUAAAUAAAAGACAAACUAAGCAUGUAGUACCAAAGGUAGACAUUUUCUGGACGCGGGUUCAAAUCCCGCCAGCUCCACCA
rfam:Aestuariibacter aggregatus strain CGMCC 1.8995 genome assembly, contig: Ga0079874_103